GAGACCCCUAUCAGUAAUUGCUAACUGCCCAGAGAUGGGUAGAGGCUAGUUACAGAGACUGCCGUUGAUAAAACGGAGGAAGGAAGGGGCCACGGCAGGUCAGUAUGCCCCGAAACUCCUGGGCCACACGCGGGCUGCAAUGGUAGGGACAAUAGGUUCCGACCUCGAAAGAGGAAGGCAAUCCCCAAACCCUACCCCAGUUGUGAUCGAGGAUUGAAACCCGUCCUCGUGAAUAUGGAAUCCCUAGUAACCGCGUGUCAUCACCGCGCGGUGAAUAC
rnacentral:rRNA from 1 species